AUUGAACGCUGGCGGCAGGCCUAACACAUGCAAGUCGAACGAGUGGCGGACGGGUGAGUAAUGCUUGGGCAUCUAGCUAAUGGAGGGGGAUAACGACGGGAAAAUGUAGCUAAUACCGCGUACCACAGGAUGAGGCCAAGUGGGAUUAGGUAGUUGGUGAGGUAAAGGCACACCCAGCCGACGAUCCCUAGCUGGUCUGAGAGGAUGAUCAGCCACACGGUGACUGAGACACGGCACAGACUCCUACGGGAGGCAGCAGUGGGGAAUAGUGCACACUGGACGCAAGCCUUAUGCAGCCAUGCCGCGUGUAUGAAGAAGGCUUUAGGGUUGUAAAGUACUUUCAGCGGGGAGGCGUUACCCUCAGAAGAAGCACCGGCUAACUCCGUGCCAGCAGCCGCGGUAAUUC
rnacentral:rRNA from 1 species